AAACUUCCAUCAAUAUGAGAUUUAGAGAGAAUAAUUAUCAUUUAUACAUCUGAAUAAAUAAACCCUUUUCGUGAUUAAAAUCCUGACUUCAAUUCUCAACCUUUUUUUUUUUUUUUCGAGAAAGUACUUAUAACAAUUGUAGGAAACCUACCUUCACUUCGAUAGGUGUUAGGAAAAAAUAUCAUUGAUGUCUUGAUCAACCUGGUAUAGUUUGAACCCGUAUACGUACGAUUGUCUUAAGUGUCUUUGAGAUAGAAACAACAUGCUCCUAAGAUGCCACCUGCAUGAAGACUGAGGUCGAAAGAGGUUUCUCAACCUGAUCUCUCUGAUGCUCAAGUUAGUAAUCCGAGAUAUAUGAGCAUAGACG
rnacentral:lncRNA from 1 species